rnacentral:sRNA from 1 species
UGGAGGACCUGCUCGGAAACCCUGAGUACUGGGAAGAA